CCAAUUUUUUGUGAUAAACUAAUAGAUAAUUGACUAAAUAAACAUCCUGCAAAGUUUCAAUAAAAAUUUCCAAUUUUUUCUUACAAUUUCCGUGGUUUCCAUGUAAUUUUUAUCGAUAUCGAUAUUAUCCCGAUAUUUCCAUCGAUAUUUCCGUGUUUUCGGACUACCGAUAUUUCCGAUAUUACCGAUAUUUUCUUCCUUGGUUAAAACUCUCAAAAAAAUUUGGUUUAUUACAUUUCGCAUCCCUCUAUGAUUUGUAUAAGUUAGAAACAUAUCUUUUAAAAAUUGACACUUACGACUCUUAAAUUGUGAAUUUUUGCACUAUUUUUCCUUUGCCAUGUUCAAAUCAAUGGGGGAUAGCAAAUCCGGUCCACACACCUCUGUUGGGAUGAGGUGAGGCAUUUUAGCCUUUCUCUGACCACCAUUGUACGAACGAACGCAGGACGUGCCAUGUGGAAUACAGGAGCUUGAAAUUCAUCCCUAAUUAUUGGGUCAUCCCGUGGUGGUUGACGCAUAAGAUUGUUGAUUUAUGUAUUUGUAAUAGGAAGGUUAUAUUUUAAUUAUAUUGUAAUCCCAUGAGAUCAGAAAUUAGGAUUCCUUGUACUGGGAGAAUUGUAAUAUGUAUAUGUUUCCGCAUAAAAGUGAUUAUAAUGAUACUGCAGACCAUAGUCAUCGCCUACGUAAGACUCAUGCUUAUUAUUAGGUGGUUACAUUAGUAUAUAUAUGUGCAGGCCCUUACACAUCAUAUUAAUUAUAUACAUCGAAUUUUUUAAAACACUAGUUAGUGUGUCUUUUGUGGUCAAAUUAUCUGCUUUUCAAUAAUCGAAUUCAUUUUGAUCGUAUCUUAUAUUUUAAUCUCAAUUUUUGCUACUUAGCACUACGGUUUAGUGGUAUUUAUCUUCAUUUGUAAGUGAGCGGUCUUCGGUUAGAUUCUCACCAAAUGCAAAUUUAAACUACAUUAUUGUUAACCAAUUGUGAGAUUAGGCUCACCCCUCCCCUUAGUGUAAAUAUAAAAACAAAAAAAAUCUCAAUUUUUACACGUUGCUAUCACUUAAAAUUUACAACCCCAUAAAAAAAAAAAUUUUAAAGUUCCCCAACCAAGGUGUGACAAUGUCCAAAUCCAGAAAAUAAAAUUAAUAUGGACUUCUCCUUGUCGAUGUUAUUCGAAUUGGAAUUUUCCAAUAAUGUAUGAUAUAAAAUUUCAAUUUGCGUACACUUUUAUUUUAGUUUUUUGAGAAAUACGUAUGUACACUUAUGACGCAGUAAUUAAUUAACCUUGUUUGCUCAUAUUCUUAUCUCUAUACUAUUCUUUGAAAAAAAAAAUAGAAUAUGUCAAAUUCAUAAAAUGUCAAUUAUUCGCCUUUCGAUAUUUUUAGCCAUUCAGUUUCACUUUUCACAACUCAUUUUCUCUUCUAUAUCAGACAUUUUCAAUCUGCACGUAGAAUUUCAAUACUUUCUUUGAAAAACAUAAACGAGAUACAAAUAGAGAACUUUUAGAAAACCUGAAAAAAAAAUAAUUCAAAAGAGAAUCAAGAUUGACAAUUCAAAAUCAGCGUGUAACAAGUGAAAAUAAGUGUGUACAAAUAAUUUUAGAUUAGUGUAUCAAUUUGAUCAUUCUUUUGUUAAUAAAUCUGAUUAAGAAUACUAACAUAUAUUUAUUCCAAAUCUCGAACCUUAUUUAUUACUUUAUUUAGAACCCCCCACAUACGCGUGUGGCAAUUGACAUUUUUAUAUAUCUUUUAUUUAAAUAAUUAAUUUACAUAUUUUUAAAAAAAUAUUUAAAAAAAAAAAAGAAGAAAUGAAUUAAAAACGUGAAACCACCCACUAAUGUGGGAGGUUUUGUUUU
rnacentral:lncRNA from 1 species